AUUGAACGCUGGCGGCAUGCCUUACACAUGCAAGUCGAACGGUAACGCGGGGCAACCUGGCGACGAGUGGCGAACGGGUGAGUAAUGCAUCGGAACGUGCCCGGUAGUGGGGGAUAACUGCUCGAAAGAGCAGCUAAUACCGCAUACGACCUGAGGGUGAAAGGGGGGGAUCGCAAGACCUCUCGCUAUCGGAGCGGCCGAUGUCGGAUUAGCUAGUUGGUGGGGUAAAGGCCUACCAAGGCAACGAUCCGUAGCUGGUCUGAGAGGACGACCAGCCACACUGGGACUGAGACACGGCCCAGACUCCUACGGGAGGCAGCAGUGGGGAAUUUUGGACAAUGGACGCAAGUCUGAUCCAGCCAUGCCGCGUGCGGGAAGAAGGCCUUCGGGUUGUAAACCGCUUUUGUCAGGGAAGAAAUCUUCUGGGUUAAUACCUCGGGAGGAUGACGGUACCUGAAGAAUAAGCACCGGCUAACUACGUGCCAGCCGCCGCGGUAAUAC
rnacentral:rRNA from 1 species